rnacentral:lncRNA from 1 species
GUCCUCCUUGAUAUGCUUUUCUUUGAAUGUGCUCCGAGAAAAAACUCUUGUAGGCGGAACUGCAUCACAAUGCCGCUGCUUCCUGGGAAACAAUUUACAUCAUGCCUCGUUAACAGCUAAUGUUGAUGUUGUUCUGUCAUACAUGAUGCAAACAAAUGCUUCUAUGAUGUCCAUGUAUGUGUCUUUAUACUUCAGCGAAGAAAAAAAACGUCCCUUACAUCUGGAAAUACGUCCCAUGUCAUCCAAACUGACAUAUUCCCUUUCCCACGAAAAUCCAAUAAAGUAUCACAUCCACUGAAUACAUUAACGAAAGGAAGAGUAGCUACACGAGGACCAAACGCAUUUGAUAUGUCACGUACAAGAACCAAGCCGAACAUGGACAAACAUUCGUGUAUCUGCUUCUCCAUGAUUACAAGGGGUAGCUGGAAAGUAUCCUUAUUAGUCUCAAAAGAAGCAAUUCUGUCGGCAAGAAACUUGAAAAAAUUUCGUUUCGUUGUCAUCUUCACAGAGAAAACUACUCCAGUCCCCUGGUGUUUUAUAGCUACUAGAACCAACACCUUUCCGUCUAGCACAAG